AUCUAGUUGACGAGUCCUAAAUAGAACGGAACACAAGUCCUGGAU
rfam:Schistosoma margrebowiei strain Zambia genome assembly, scaffold: SMRZ_contig0002583